rnacentral:rRNA from 1 species
GACGAACGCUGGCGGCGUGCCUAAUACAUGCAAGUCGAACGCUUUUUCUUUCACCGGAGCUUGCUCCACCGAAAGAAAAAGAGUGGCGAACGGGUGAGUAACACGUGGGUAACCUGCCCAUCAGAAGGGGUUAACACUUGGAAACAGGUGCUAAUACCGUAUAACACUAUUUUGCGCAUGGAAGAAAGUUGAAAGGCGCUUUUGCGUCACUGAUGGAUGGACCCGCGGUGCAUUAGCUAGUUGGUGAGGUAACGGCUCACCAAGGCAACGAUGCAUAGCCGACCUGAGAGGGUGAUCGGCCACACUGGGACUGAGACACGGCCCAGACUCCUACGGGAGGUAGCAGUAGGGAAUCUUCGGCAAUGGACGAAAGUCUGACCGAGCAACGCCGCGUGAGUGAAGAAGGUUUUCGGAUCGUAAAACUCUGUUGUUAGAGAAGAACAAGGAUGAGAGUAAAACGUUCAUCCCUUGACGGUAUCUAACCAGAAAGCCACGGCUAACUACGUGCCAGCCGCCGCGGUAA